rnacentral:lncRNA from 1 species
ACAGGGCUGGAGGAGCAAUUGGAGGAGCCCAGCAGGCUGGACACAUGUGGAGAGUUGAUAUGGAAACUGAGCCCUCACACAUGGACUGAAUUCUGACAAGCAGAGGAUAAAGGCAGAACAACAUGACUGAAGGGAAGAUGCUUUUGUGAUAUAUCCCAGCAUGCUGAUGACCCCAAGGAGGACCACUGGAUACCUAGCAAGGAAAAAGAAGAACUGAUUGAAGAGUGGCAACCAGAACCUCUUGUUCCUCCUGUCCCAAAAGACCAUCCUGCUCUCAACUACAACAUCGUUUCAGGAAAAACAUCAAGAAAAGGGCAGUAAGAAUGUUAUUUAAAAAUAUGGAGGUAAAUUUCAGAAGAAAAUGCCGAAAAUGUUUGCCUUUGGAAAACGAGAAUCAAGGGUGAGAAUGGAAACAUCUGCGUGAGAAGGGCCCCUCUCAUAAAAUGAAAACAAAGGACAGAAAGCAUUGCUGAGGGCUUAAGGUGUGGAUGAAAUGACACAUUGAAGCUGAAGAAUCCCCAUGUUGACAGCAUUCAAUCCAAGAAAAGCUCCACUGUACACAUGUUCUAACAUAUGAGUGAUCCAAAAGAGAGAGCUUCACAUACAAUAUCCUAUGCCUACUUUCUCAGCUCAGAGAGAGAGGCUCAGUCAUUCAUAAACUGGAGCAACAUUCAUGUACUGCGGACCACUUUGAAAGACUUAUCUGUCUCCUGUUUACAGAUGUGUACAGCAAGCUGCAAAGCACUGCCUGUCCUUUUACUCACAAUCAAUUGCAGAGAACAUGAAGUACAGAAGACAACAGCUUUUUUUUUCUUUUGGAAAAUCCCUUAAGUCCUUUCCGUGCUGUGCUAUCAUUGUUCAGGUGCUAAAGUGAAAUAAAUGUGUCGUCUAAUCACUAAGGUGUCAUGAACUCAAAAAUUUAACUGGCAGUGAAGAGUCAGGGAACAUUGUAAUUUUGCCUUGUCACAGGAAUACUAGUUCAAAAGUGGGAGGAAUGUAUUUGCCAAUAUGGUCUACAUCUUCAAAUGCACAUUGUUUACUCAAACUUCAUAGGCACAUGUUCAAUGAAGGGCAUAAAAAAGACAUUUACAAAGCUCAUUGAAA